AGCGAUCACCAACUUUGUUUUUAAAUUGUCGCUGGAAUCAAGCAUCAAACUUCAAAGUCAAAUCGCUAAUAAUUUCAGAAUAAGAAUAUAAUAAUGGUAACAGUUAAAAGACACCUGAUUCCACGAAAACAACAAAAAUUCAAUAUCCUUACGGGAAGUUUCGUAACGCUAUUAGAUCUUGAUUGAAGGACCGACGAUAAAAAAAAACCCAUGAAUAUAAAGGAAUAGCAUAGAGAGCUCGUAAACGUAACUGUAGCUUGCAGGCCAAAAAUCAUUGAGACUACAGAGACUCCACGUCGCGGUACGUAACUCCUUGCAAAUCCUAAAAGCAAGGGCUGAAUCAUUAUGGAUAAUGAAAGACGGGAGAAACUAGUAAAAAUACGAAGAACCAUGAACUUUUGAUUAUAAGAUAUAAUAACAGUGUUUAUA